rnacentral:rRNA from 1 species
AGUGAACGUUGGCGGCGUGGAUUAGGCAUGCAAGUCGAGCGGGAGUAGCAAUACUCCAGCGGCGAAAGGGAGAGUAAUGCGUAGAUUACCUACCUCCAGGCCCGGGAUAGCCGUGGGAAACUGCGGGUAAUACCGGAUAAUGUCUCCGGACCAAAGGUGUGAUUCCGCCUGGAGACGGGUCUGCGUCCUAUCAGCUAGUUGGUGAGGUAACGGCUUACCAAGGCGACGACGGGUACGAGGCGCGAGAGCGUGUCCUCGCUCACUGGGACUGAGACACUGCCCAGACACCUACGGGUGGCUGCAGUCGAGAAUCUUCGUCAAUGGGCGCAAGCCUGAACGAGCGACGCCGCGUGCGGGAUGAAGGCCUUCGGGUUGUAAACCGCUGUCAGAGGGGAUGAAAUGCCGGUGGGUUCUCCCAUCGGUUUGACAGAUCCUCAGAGGAAGUACGGGCUAAGUUCGUGCCAGCCGCCGCUGUAAAAC